UACGUAGGGUGCGAGCGUUGUCCGGAAUUAUUGGGCGUAAAGGGCUCGUAGGCGGUUUGUCGCGUCGGGAGUGAAAACUCAGGGCUCAACCCUGAGCCUGCUUCCGAUACGGGCAGACUAGAGGUAUGCAGGGGAGAAUGGAAUUCCUGGUGUAGCGGUGAAAUGCGCAGAUAUCAGGAGGAACACCGGUGGCGAAGGCGGUUCUCUGGGCAUUACCUGACGCUGAGGAGCGAAAGUGUGGGGAGCGAACAGG
rnacentral:rRNA from 1 species